AUUGAACGCUAGCGGGAUGCCUUACACAUGCAAGUCGAACGGCAGCGCGGACUUCGGUCUGGCGGCGAGUGGCGAACGGGUGAGUAAUGUAUCGGAACGUGCCCAGUAGCGGGGGAUAACUACUCGAAAGAGUAGCUAAUACCGCAUACGCCCUACGGGGGAAAGGGGGGGAUCGCAAGACCUCUCACUAUUGGAGCGGCCGAUAUCGGAUUAGCUAGUUGGUGGGGUAAAAGCCCACCAAGGCGACGAUCAGUAGCUGGUCUGAGAGGACGAUCAGCCACACUGGGACUGAGACACGGCCCAGACUCCUACGGGAGGCAGCAGUGGGGAAUUUUGGACAAUGGGGGCAACCCUGAUCCAGCAAUGCCGCGUAAGUGAAGAAGGCCUUCGGGUUGUAAGGCUCUUUUGUCAGGGAAGAAACACCGGCUCUAACACAGUCCGGGAAUGACGGUACCUGAAGAAUAAGCACCGGCUAACUACGUGCCAGCAGCCGCAGUAA
rnacentral:rRNA from 1 species